rnacentral:rRNA from 1 species
UAGGGAAUCUUCCACAAUGGGCGAAAGCCUGAUGGAGCAAUGCCGCGUGAGUGAAGAAGGUUUUCGGAUCGUAAAACUCUGUUGUUGAAGAAGAACAUGCGUGAGAGUAACUGUUCACGUACUGACGGUAUUCAACCAGAAAGCCACGGCUAACUACGUG